UUAACUUCGGUACAUCGGUGGACAGGUGGUGCAUGGUUGUCGUCAGCUCGUGUCGUGAGAUGUUGGUUAAGUCCCGCAACGAGCGCAACCCCUAUUGUAGUUGCCAUCAUUCAGUUGGGCACUCUAGCGAGACUGCCGGUAAUAAACCGGAGGAAGGUGGGGAUGACGUCGAAUCAUCAUGCCCCUUAUGACCUGGGCUACACACGUGCUACAAUGGUUGGUACAACGAGUUGCGAGUCGGUGACGGCGAGCUAAUCUCUUAAAGCCAAUCUCAGUUCGGAUUGUAGGCUGCAACUCGCCUACAUGAAGUCGGAAUCGCUAGUAAUCGCGGAUCAGCACGCCGCGGUGAAUACGUUCCCGGGCCUU
rnacentral:rRNA from 1 species